ensembl:lincRNA RIKEN cDNA 2310010J17 gene
AAGUAGUAGGGUGAUGUCAACAGUGAUUAACUUGACCCUACAAGGCUGACAACCAGCGAGAUUAAAGGUCCACACCAUAGAAGGAAGUGAGACAGCUCGUCUCCUACUGUAUGCUGCCUACUACACUUAGAAAUACCAUCUUGGUGUACAUCCUAAUGGUCAUGUUACGAGCUCUGCUACAUGUUCCCACGAACACAGUGCCACUCUGCAUAUCUCCCCACUAUUGAUGAAUGGGCUGAGAUACUCUGAAACCCGGAACGACAGUCCUUUCACGAGAUGAAUAAGACUUCAGAGAAUUAUGAAGUUGAAACCACAACGUGGAAGACACCUGGGGUUGACAAACGAGUCAUUGGAGAUGCGCUUCCAAGGAGAGCUGUGUGCCCAGGAACACCUAGAGUAGUGUAUUUGCUUUGUUAAAGAGUGACUUGUAUGAGAGAGAAAUCUAUUUUCC